rnacentral:rRNA from 1 species
UACGAAGGGGGCGAGCGUUGUUCGGAAUUACUGGGCGUAAAGGGCGCGUAGGCGGCCUGUUAAGUCGAACGUGAAAUCCCCGGGCUCAACCCGGGAACUGCGUCCGAUACUGGCAGGCUUGAAUCCGGGAGAGGGAUGCGGAAUUCCAGGUGUAGCGGUGAAAUGCGUAGAUAUCUGGAGGAACACCGGUGGCGAAGGCGGCAUCCUGGACCGGUAUUGACGCUGAGGCGCGAAAGCCAGGGGAGCAAACGGG